AUUGAACGCUGGCGGCAGGCCUAACACAUGCAAGUCGAACGGUAACAGGAAGCAGCUUGCUGCUUCGCUGACGAGUGGCGGACGGGUGAGUAAUGUCUGGGAAACUGCCCGAUGGAGGGGGAUAACUACUGGAAACGGUAGCUAAUACCGCAUAACGUCGCAAGACCAAAGAGGGGGACCUUCGGGCCUCUUGCCAUCGGAUGUGCCCAGAUGGGAUUAGCUUGUUGGUGAGGUAACGGCUCACCAAGGCGACGAUCCCUAGCUGGUCUGAGAGGAUGACCAGCCACACUGGAACUGAGACACGGUCCAG
rnacentral:rRNA from 2 species